ACUGCACUGUAGUAGCAAGUUCCUCCAUGGCUUUUGUACUUUUGCCAGUAGCUACUGAUGGAAAAUAGCAAGGUUUCUUUGGUUGGAAUUGGAUCAUCCUGCAAUCUGCAACAGCAUCUGGUGUUUGUUCAUGUGCUGUUCUCUUUUCCAUAGGAAGCUAUAAGGUAUUUCUUUCCAAAAUUGUCGAUUCAAUCUUCAACAAAAGAUUGAUAUGAUAAUUAAGAUAAUAAAUGAAAAUGGGGUGAAAAUUUUUUGGAGGGACCGUUUCAACUUUAUUGUAUGUAGACACACCAACAUACUUGCACAUCAUGAUAUUAUUGAUCAAUAUGUCAUAUAUUUCGAUUCAAGCAAAUUAAUUGCAUGAAUAAGAUUGGUUAAUAAGUAUUCAUGAGUUCAGUUAUCAUUUACAUUUAAUUGCUUAUUACGAACUACAAAAAAUUUAUCAUGCAGAGGAGUCGUCACUUAAUUAUCGAAUCAAGCAAUAAAUAGUAUUGCUUGUCAUUUGAUUUUAAUUGCCAGAAGAAAGGAUAAAUACAAGUUAAUUUUACUUUCUUUGGUGAUAUUUAUUAACUUGUAAAUAGACUGCCUGCAAUUAUAAAAUUAAUUGUCAAUCAAUUACUCAAUAAUUACUUUAUAAUAUAUAUUAAAUGACUUAUUAUAGAUAGCACUAAAUCUUACAAUUAAUAAAAUGAACCGUAGAAAAUUUAAAAUGGAUCUGACGUCAUGGACAAAAAAUCCGAUAAUAUCAAUGUCGGACACGAAUUUUAGUUGGAUCCGACCCGAUAACAUCCCUCUCGAGGCUCUCUUAACUCUUCGGCUCGGGUCCAAACCUUCGCUUCGCAGCCGGCGGAAGGAGACCAGAAGGCAAUUGGCGCCGACGAUGGAUCCCAGGAUGUGGCACAAGGUCGCUGCAAUCUCCGGUGUUGCUGCUAUCGGUCUGGGGACUUACGGCGCUCAUGGUUUCAAGCCCAAGAACCCAUCUUACGAGGAGGUUUGGCGUACCGCCUCCCUCUACCACUUGGUCCAUACGGCCGCCCUAGUGGGAGCUCCCAUCGCCAAACGCCCCAACAUCUUUGGAGGGCUUCUAACUACCGGUAUCGUCGGGUUCUCGGGAACGUGCUACACGGUGGCUUAUCUUGAAGACAGAAAGAUCUCUUUUAUUGCACCAUAUGGUGGAUUUGCAUUUCUUGCUGCUUGGGCUAGCUUACUCUUCUGACACGCAAUGGAUCAUCAACAUUUGAGGUGUCAUAUUGCAUUGGAGCUAUUUGGGAAGUUUGUCCUCGGUUAUGUCAAGGGAGCGACUGGAAGUGGCAGCAACAUCAACUGCAAGAAAGAACCAAUGAGAAGCACCAAUCUUCCGUGGUCAAGGUCAGUAUCUGAUGAACAUCACCCUCGGAACUCCACCGUUUACUCUUCCGGUCAUCUUCGACGUGGGAAGUGGAGUGACUUGGGUGCAAUCGACUCCUUGCGUGGAGUGUUGCGAGCAGGAUUACCCCUUGUAUGAUCGUAGCAAGUCAUCCUCGUACAAACCGGUGGGCUGUUCCACCAAGACAUGCAAGUACGAUGGCUACCAGACGAAGUGCGUCAACGCCAGCUGCGUGUACGCCGUGGGCUACGCCGACAAUUCCUACUCUGUCGGCAAGGUCGGCACCGAGUACUUCACCUUCGUCGGCACUGAUGACGAUCUCAAAGCAGGCAUGGUGGAGAUGUCCUUCGACGUGGGGCUCCAAAACGACGGGACAUUCGACUUACUGCGUUCAGCUGCAUGACAUUACGAUGGGCAUCAAGAAGCUGCACAUUCCGCUGGGGACGUUCGACUUGAACCGCGGCGGCCUCAUUCUCGACACCGGCACUCCCUUGACGUAUCUUUAUAGGGAACCGUUCGAUAUGGUACACGAGGAGCUGGACAAGUAGGUGAAGUUGAAGCGCGUCGACGGGUGGACUCGCCGACAAUGCUUCUACGGGAACUACGACCAUUUGGACGACGGUGGCAGUGCACAGAUUCCAUUUCGAGGCGUUGGAAGUGACCGUGGCACCCACGUUAUAUUUCACGGUAGAAGGCAAUUACGUUUGCUC